UGCCAGCAGCCGCGGUAAUACGGAGGGUGCGAGCGUUAAUCGGAAUUACUGGGCGUAAAGCGCGCGUAGGCGGCUAAGUAAGUCGGAUGUGAAAGCCCUGGGCUUAACCUGGGAAUUGCAUUCGAUACUGCUUGGCUAGAGUAUGGUAGAGGGUAGUGGAAUUCCUGGUGUAGCGGUGAAAUGCGUAGAUAUCAGGAGGAACAUCAGUGGCGAAGGCGGCUACCUGGACCAAUACUGACGCUGAGGUGCGAAAGCGUGGGGAGCAAACAGGAUUAGAUA
rnacentral:rRNA from 1 species